CAUUUCCUGUGCUCAUAGGCCAUUCCUCCCAAAUGACCAGUGAGCUGUAAGGAAAUUUA
ensembl:miRNA